CCCAAACUACAUUUCCCAGAGUUCUGUGCUUUCUUUCUUUCCCAGUGAACUCUGUUUUCUCCCUGCUUUUCCUCUCCUAAUGGUGAGAGAUCAUCAUUAAUUUAAAGGGGAAAGGCAGCCUUUUUGGCUUUGCUUUGCUUCCUGGCACUGAAAAUAAAACUGACUUUGGGAGGUUUCUGAGAUUUACGAAAUGCAAACAAAAAAGUAUUGGGACAGGGAAUGCCAUUAUCUUGUCAGUUGGAAUCCUGUCUUGGAAUCUUUUGCAGGCCUAUAAGAAUUAAACUCCCGACCCUUCAC
rnacentral:lncRNA from 11 species